rnacentral:lncRNA from 1 species
GAAAAAGAGAAAGAACAUCAAGGAGUGGAAGGGAGGAUGUGGGAGGAGCUGCAGGGAGGGAAAACAUGAUCAAACUAGUGUAUGAAAUAUUUAAGUUACAAAAGCACGUGUGUGGGUUAAUGACAAACUGUAAAGCAAGCAUCCGUGUCACCCCCACCAUCCACGCCUGGAAACAGAAGAGGCCCCUGGAACGGCAAACCCAAGUUCCUGCUCAGACUCUGGCUUUACUGUGCAACCCAAGCUUCAAGUUCACUCAGAGUGAAAGGAAAUAAAGCCACAGGUGCUAAAAGAUGGAAACGUUUAAAGCUCCUCUAUAAUGCAUUAAAAUAAGAGAAUCUUUACUAACAUACAGGGCAUUUCAUUAAAAUCUCCAGUGAAAAAUGCCAAGAGUAAGAAUAUUGAUCCAUUUGGAAUAUAAAUUAUUGAAGUGCUUGGAUUUAAUUUUGUGGAAUGCCACACUAGAGUACCAUAAAAAACAUGAUUUGUUCCCAAUCCUUCUAACAGCUGGCAGUAAGGAAGGCCAACACUAGCACUCAAGAUUCAAAACCAUUAAAUAACUGCAAUUUCAACAUGGUGUACCUAAUAUAAGUUACUAUAAAUUACAAAUUAAUAGAUUGAUGUCUGUGAUUUUUUUUUUCUUUAUGCUGGCUCUUGACAAAAUAAAGAUGGCUUCAGCAAUCCUUCUACUUCCAUUCCAAAACGGGGUGCUCAUGUGUCACAAGUGAAACUAUGGGUCCCAUGAGUCUUACAAAGACAGAGGUCUGCAGGUAACAACAGUAAUGAAAAAUCAUGCUUUAUUAUUAGUGUUAAUAGAAUGUUAAAUUUCACUGGAUAUUCCUCUUUAUGAAGCAUGACACUCAGCAUUCCAAGGUGACCAAAAGAUAGCAAUAAUGUUUAAAAUAUUGUAAGUAAGGAUCUUCACUGGUUUUUCUAGAAAGAAAUGAUAAAUGUUUUACGAAACCAUUAUAAGUUAAAUCAUUAACUUAAUUUAAAUAUUAUACAGAAUAAACAUGUCACAUUGGUAUCUAUAAAGACAUAGUUUUUAAAGGUCUUAAUUCUUUCCCCUUUUAAAGAUUUACUUAAAUUAUGUAUAUGAGUACACUGUCACUCUUCCCACACACCAGGAGAGGGUAUCACACUCCAUUACAGAUGGUUGUGAGCCACCAUGUGGUUGCUAGGAUUUGAACUCAGGACCUUCGGAAGAACAGUCAGUGCUCUUAACCGCUGAGCCAUUUCUCCAGCCAAGUUCUUAAUUCUUAUUAGUUAGAAAAUAAAUUUAAAAAUCAAAAGACAAAUUCUAAAUCCUUUAGGUAAAAAAUAUUUAAGAAUUCUUAGAUUGAAAAGCAUCCUACUCCAGAAUAUAAAUACAGUUUAACAGAAAAACUAUAAAACAAACAUAAUUCACUUAUAAUUUCAAACUAGCCAAACAAUGAUUGCCCUUGCACUAAAGCACUCCUUUUCCAUUCCCGCUGCCAUCUGUAAUGUCUGACACUCACUUCUCACUAACUACUGAAGGCCUGGGCAGCACUGUCCCUGUGGGCUAUGCUUGACAAAGGUCUGUAUUAUUCUUCCAAGAUGUGACAGACAAGAAAACACACACACACACUUAUUAAACAUCUAAAUUACUUGGUUAACUACAAGAACAGUGACAGAAUAGCUAUUCUAUCAGAGCAGAAAAAAAUACCCUAAGUCUCUAGAUAUGCUUUAUACAGAUAUUCUCAAAUCUAUAACACUGUAGGGCUUAGUAAAUGUCAAUUUGAUAGACUACUGUGCAAUCAUUAAUACUAAAAACUAUAAAGCUAUAACAAAAUUUUGUAAUAUAUAAUAAGACAUUCUGAACAUAUAUCUAACUAUAGACAUAACUAUAUCAGACAAAUAUAAAUAUUUAAGACAUUAUACACACAGGCAAGGACUUGAAGAGUGUAGUAAGACAGUUAAGUAUUGGAUCUGGUUUUAAGUUCCUUUAACCCUCUGCAUGUUGACAAAGUAAAUAAAAACAGAAAUGAACCCUUUCCCUAAAGAACUAUAAAACCAUCAUCUGCACCUGCGCAAUCACCUUAUAUUUACGAUCUACACUAAAUCUACACAAACUUGUCAUAUAUAUAUCAUCCUGACCCUUUUGUGCAUGCUAGAGGCAAGGUCUCCAGAGAAAGAGGUAAGUCCUGGCUGAGCAUUCUUAUUAGAGAGGAAGGGGAAAGAAGAAUGAAAGGAUGAAAUAAUUAGUACUCAGCAAGGUCAAACAGUCACGAAUGGGAUGCUUUACUGCCAUCUCAAGGUAUCAAAUUUAAUAUCAGUUUAAGGAAGUGAAAUACCAAAUCCACUUAAAGUCAAGAAAAUUACAAGAAAAAUACAAAUGUUACUUUCAAUAACUUAAAUGGC